GAUGAACGCUGGCGGCGUGCCUAAUACAUGCAAGUCGAGCGAACGGACGAGAAGCUUGCUUCUCUGAUGUUAGCGGCGGACGGGUGAGUAACACGUGGAUAACCUACCUAUAAGACUGGGAUAACUUCGGGAAACCGUAGCUAAUACCGGAUAAUAUUUUGAACCUCAUGGUUCAAAAGUGAAAGACGGUCUUGCUGUCACUUAUAGAUGGAUCCGCGCUGCAUUAGCUAGUUGGUAAGGUAACGGCUUACCAAGGCAACGAUGCAUAGCCGACCUGAGAGGGUGAUCGGCCACACUGGAACUGAGACACGGUCCAGACUCCUACGGGAGGCAGCAGUAGGGAAUCUUCCGCAAUGGGCGAAAGCCUGACGGAGCAACGCCGCGUGAGUGAUGAAGGUCUUCGGAUCGUAAAACUCUGUUAUUAGGGAAGAACAUAUGUGUAAGUAACUGUGCACAUCUUGACGGUACCUAAUCAGAAAGCCACGGCUAACUACGUG
rnacentral:rRNA from 1 species